GCAUAUCAAUAAGCGGAGGAAAAGAAAAUAACAAUGAUUCCCUUAGUAACGGCGAGUGAAGGGGGAAAAGCUCAAAUUUUAAAUCUGCUAGGUUUUACUAAUCAGAAUUGUAAUUUGAAGAAGCGUUUUCCGCGUCUUGGUUGGCCCAAAUCCUUUGGGAUAAGGUAUCAUGGAGGGUGAGAAUCCCGUUCGGUUGACCUUAUGACGCUCUACGAUACGCUCUCUAAGAGUCGAGUUGUUUGGGAUUGCAGCUCAAAAUGGGAGGUAAAUUUCUCCUAAGGCUAAAUAUCGGCGAGAGACCGAUAGCGAACAAGUACCGUGAGGGAAAGAUGAAAAGAACUUUGAAAAGAGAGUAAAAUAGUACGUGAAAUUGUUGAAAGGGAAACGAUUGAAGUCAGUCGUACCGACGAGAAAUCAACUUAUCGUGUGCGAACU
rnacentral:rRNA from 1 species